AACAAGGUCUCCGUAGAGCAGUGAUCUCUCUGCAGCGAACUUAAGGAAGCCUUUGCACCCCUAACGGGGGCUCUCGCGACUCUAAAUAAGGAGGCAUGCAAGUGACAAAGCCCAACGGCUGAGUUGCAACACAAUCGAAUUGCGGGGAAGUCCUAAAGCCUCAGGGUACUAACCUGCUGUAGGAAUGCAGCAGGGGCCUGUGUUAAUCGCACAGGGUAUAGUAACAACCCCGGAGGAUCUAGCCAGGUGUGCUAGAAUGGACGAUCCGCAGCGAAGCCCCUAGACCAGGGGAACGUUCACAGACUAAGUGGUUGUGGGUAGGAGGGACUCCUGCUUAAGAUAUAGUCGGGCCGGCGCGGAAACGCGCUGGGGAUUCGCAAGAACGUAAACCGCUCCGUAGGUGAACCUGCGGAGGGAUC
rnacentral:rRNA from 1 species